AUAAAGGACGGGCUCCCUGCCCUUACUUGCGAUCGUUGUUUUGGUUGUUGGCUUGCGUGGUUACGCGUCUGCGGUGUCCUUUAAGUGGAUCCUCAGCCAUCCGUAAUCGAUGAUUUCGUUUUCGGAUUGGACGAUCCAUCGAUCGUUGAUUUCGUUUUCGGAUUGGAUGAUCUGUUUCCGAUAGAGGGCUUCACAAUUUUGCCGGAUUAAGGCCAUUUGCGACAGAUUUUAUAUGUACUUUCGAAGCGGUAGGUGAGGCUUUGGUGUUUGUGUGGGUAUUAUCUUAAUGGAACCCUCGCGGAGUCUGUGAGGCAAUUUGUGAAGGUUGCUCUGGUUUUCCGAAAUGAUCUGAACAAGGGAUGUGUCCUUUUUGAUCUGGUUUAGUUGGCCUUCGUUACUUUCAACUUUUAUUUGUUGCAUUUAUGUCCACCAGUUGGUUAUGUUUGUUUGUUUUUAUUUUUUGUGUGCAAGGGAAAGCUUCUGGAUAUGAUAUUUGAAAGAGAGAUGUGUGUGUUUUGCUACCAUGCUAUGAUAUUUGGUUUGAGAUAUACGCUAACGGUAUCUGCAUCAAUGCUGUGUCUUUUGGAUACUCUAGUUGGAUUUAGACGGGUAUCAGGGAAGAGUUCCAUCAACUUCUCAUUUUUUUGAGGGUUUUUGUGGGCAGUUGCCGAAGCAUCAUCGUUAGGCAUGAUUCUAUUAAAUAGAGAUGAUUCUAUAUGUGUCAUCGACGCUGUUGGUGGGGCUCUGGUGUUUUUGUGAUUAUUAUCUGUAUGGAGCCACACGUAGCUGUGAUGCAGUUUGUAAAGGAUGCUCCAAUUAAGGAUGCUCUGGUUUUUGUUGAAUGAUUUAAAUAGGUUUUCCAUUAGAUAGUGUUAUAUUUAAGGGGUUUCAUUGUUGUGACAUACGUUGCUUAUUAUGAUGGAUCCAGGGCUUCCGAAAUUAUCUGAACAGUGGAUAUGUCCGGUUUGUGCUGGUUUAGUCAGCCCUUGUUACUUUCAAACAUUAAUUGUUGCCCUUACGUGCACAAGUUGGUCAUGGUCAUUUGAUACGGUUCUCAUCAAAGUAUGGUUGUUUGUUUUUAUUUGUUGUCUGCUAGGGGAAGCUGAUGGACAUCUAGUUUUGCAUGGGCAUGGGACAUUUUUUUGAAAGUGAGAUGUGGCAAGUUGCAUGUUUUGAGCUUCCAAUGGUGAUGGUGGCUGGCGUUGGUAAGCUGGCCAGAUACAUUGUUCUUUCAAGUUGGUUCAUCCAUGAAUUGACAUUGUAUCCAUUGAUUUAAUUCAUGAUUGUUUGUAAGAAAAAUGUUAAUGUUCGAUGUGUUGGUAAUUAUACUUCUCCUAAGAAGUUUAUAUAAUAUUAUUUGGUAGCUUACAAGCUUUAUUUUUUGUCUGAUUCUGGUAGUGUUUUGUCAGUUAUUGGGUAGCAUGAUGUUGGUUGGGGAUGACUCUAUUUUGUGUCUCAGAUUUGUAUGUCUUGGGUUUUCUCUUGAACAGGAGUCUUUGACAAGGCAUAUCUUUGAUGAGGCAUAUCUGCCAUGUUCAUGUAGUUUUGUUUGCUCAAAACUUGCUUUUUUGUGACUUGCAAUUGUAUGACCCUUUUUCUGAUAUUGUUAUGCUUCCAUGCUUUACAUUAAUGUUUUUUAGUUGGCAUCUGUGUAUUCUUGGAUUUUUCAUGACUAAAUGACUGUUCAUCACCAAUUUUUGAGUGUUCGUCAUGAGGGGAAUUUGUCCUCAGUUUUCUUCGUUGGUGAGAUGUUUAUGAAUCUUAAUUUUGUUUAUUAGGAAUUUCGGAGUAUCUAAGUUUGGUUGUAUUUAUUUAUUGAAUUGUGAAUUUUUGUAUUACAUUAUUGUUUCAUGAUUAUCUUCUAUAUUGUUUGUUGAUAUUUCGAAACUAUUCCAGUAGUCUAUAUUUUUUUAGCAAUUUGCUAGGUUUAGAUAGUAAGCUGAGUUGGAAAAUGAUAAGUGGAAGGUGUCCAUAAUUGUCUUCAGGUAACAAUAAAAUAUUAUUUAGUAAAAAAUAUAACUAUUGGGAAAUAAGCAUAUGAUUGUUUGCAAGCAUGUUUGGAAACAUGUGAAGACAAAAUUUGAAGCUUGAAGAAUAUGAGAAAAGGGUUAUAUAGCUAUCUUGAAAUUAAAGAGCAUGUGUUUAUUUAUCCCUUGUGAAUUUGCUUGGACUGUUUAUGAGGAUGUUAUGAUACUUGUGAGACUUUUUACUUGGUGUUGCAUCUUUGAAUUAUUUUAGAGCUUAUUCAGUAUGGUGACAAUUCCUGUUCAAUUAUGUUUGUUUUUUUUUAAUUAUUACAUUUUCCAUGCUUUUACGACUAAUUUACUGUGUUGAAUGUAUUUCCUGUUCAAUCAUGUUUGGUAUUUUCUUUGACUACAUUUUCCAAGAUACUAUGAUUAUUAGAUUACAUUUUCUUUGACUACAUUUUCUUUGUCGAUAUAUUUAGCUACUAUGCAAUUUGGUUAUUAGAAAUUUGAUUUUGUUGUUCAUAUAGGUUGUAGCAUAUUUUGCAAGUAGUAUGAGAUUUGCAUUGAUUAUCGUUUAUCAAACAGAUGGGUUUGCUUUAGAAUUUAAAAUUAAAUACAAAAACGAACAAGAAUAGAAGACUGGUAAAUUGGACAUUGCAAUAACCACUUUACUAUCAUUGUUGUUUUCGAAGCUUAUCUAAGAAGAGUAUAAAGUUGGAUAUUAUGUGAUUUGUAGUUGCAUGGGAUGAUUUUUAUGUUCAGAAGUUCAUUGCUGGAUAGGUAUUCUCCAGCGAGGUUGAUCAACUUCUCCUUUUGUCAACAUUUGGUGAUUGCAUUGGACUUCUACUUUACUGCUUGAUUGUUUUAUCUAAUUCUAUUUAUGUAUUCACGUUUUUCUUCUCUUUUUUCCCUAAUUGUCUUUAUUUUUUCUGGUGGUUGGUAAAUUUUCUAUUGUUAAUCUUAACAUCUAUAAUGGUAUUCAAUUGGCAAAUAUGUUGGGCAUAUGAUAGCUGUUGGCUUGAGAAUUAUGGGCAUUAUCUUUUUCCAUGUGAUAGCUGUUGGCUUUGUAGUUAUCUAUUGGUUCAUUUUGUGAGAAGUCUGCUUCUUGUUUUGCUGUUCUGUUGUGACAUUCCAGAAGCAUUGUUCCAUCACCAGGUGCAGUCUUGUUUUGCAUAUAUAAGAGAUAUGAUGACAUCUAUCUUGACUCUCUCCAGAUAGAUUAUAAAGCCUGGUGACUGAUACAUCUGCUUAUUUUCUACAGAAUACACCUGGUCUCUUUAUGUAUUCAUUUGUUGUCUUUCAGAUCUUCUGAACAUUGUUCUCCUCGAUUUUUUGUUGUGUGGCAUCCAAUAGCUUUUUUAUUUCUGAAAUUUUGGGGUGUCUUAGCUUCUGAACCUUAAUUUUGGGUUUUUAAUGUGAUCUUUCAUGAUCAUGGGGUUAUCAAAAUGUCUGUUUUUGUUGGAACUUUCUGUGAUAUACUGAUAAUGAAAAUGGUACAUUCUCUGUUCUAAUGAGUUCAUUACAUCCAUUGUUAUUUUUCACUUGGCUAUUGAAGAGCCUAUAGUUUUUAUGUCCUGGUUUUGGUGUUUUAGUUUUGGUUAAUUUUUCAGAAUUUCCUUUUUUCUCCUCUUGACAUUGCAUUGGGUGGUAGUGGUACAAAUUAUUUUGUGCUUCAUCUUUGUGAACCAUUGGUAUCAAAAUUUCUGUGGUCUCUUUCCCUUUAUUCAGCUUUUGCUUUUCUUUUCUUUGAGACACAUGCCUGUUUCUCUUAUUCUAUGCUUCAUUUAUUGUUCAAGAAGCUAGGAUGGGGCUAACAGUGAAUGCAGUGAACCUUGGGUUGGUGAUCUCGAGCAAUAAUGGUAUGUAAUUUUGACAGUCUGUUAAAUAUUCACCAAUAGGGUCACUCGGCGAACUGGGUUUUCAAUUCUAUUAUAUUUUGUAGUUGCAGCAAUCUGUAAGUCAUUAUAUUUUGGUUUCUGAAAUUUUGGGAUGUCUUAGUUUCUGAACCUUGAUUAUGGGGUUUAAUGCCGUCCAUCAUGAUGAGCAUGGGCAUUUUUAUAUACUAACUAGGUCAUCAAAAUGUCUGAUUGUAGGAAUAGAUCAUAAAAGUGUCAAAGAACCUAUAGAUUAAUUUUCACAAAAUCCUUUUUUUUUCUUUGAAAUAGAUUUUAGUUGUACAUUGCCUUCAAUUCUAUAUCACAAUUUUUGUUGUUACUUUAUGGACAUUGUAUUGGGUGGUACAAAUUAUGUUGCACUUCAUCAUUGUGAACCAUUGGUACUAAAUCUCUCUGCUGCUCUCUUUCCACUUAUUCAGCUUUUGCUCCUCUCUUUUUCUAAACAUGUGCUCGAUUCUCUUCUAUGCUUUAUCUAUUGUUAAGAAGUUAGGACGAGGCUAACAGUGAAUGUGGUAAACCUUUGGUUGGUGAUCUUGACUAAUAAUGGUAUGUAAUUUUCACUUGUUUGGAUGGUCUGUUAAAUAUUCAUUAAUUGGGUCAUUUUGCAAACAGGUUUUCGAUUUCUGUAAUAUUUUGAAGUGGCAGCAUUCUGUUAGUCAUGUUUGAGUCUAGGGAUAUUUAGAUGUACUCUAUAUAUGAAGUUUUUUCUUUUGCAUUAUUUCUGAAUAUUUUUUUAUUUCUAUAUGCAUCUAUCUCAUGCUACUUUUUUUGGUUUUGUAUCUUGAUCAAGGUUCGUAAUUUCGUACCGCACCGGAGUUUCGACGUUCGCUCGGUACAGUAUGAUACUGUAUAACGAGCGAUAUAUCGUUCGGUAUAUUGCUCGGUAUAUAUAUAUAUAUAUAUAUAUAUAUAUAUAUAUAUAAAUAAUUCGUUGACGUCGUCGAAGCAACGUCGCCUUUAUAUAUAUAUAUAUAUAUAUAUAUAUAUAUAUAUACACGGACAGUAUUAUUCGAAAUUGCAUACCUUGAUCUUGAUUAUGUUAUGAACUAUUUCAAUAUGGUUAAAGAGAUCUUAUCGGUCCGUAUCCGUAUACUGACUAGUUGGUAUUGUACGUAUCGAGCUGUAUCGAAUGUACCGAAACAUGGUACAUUGGGACAUAUUGAUAUACUACCCAUACCGGGCCCUUGUUGGACUGGUACGUACUGCUCAUACCGGUACGCUAUGGUACAACGAACCUUGAGUGUAAGAGUUAUAAAUGAGUUCAAUAUCUCCUACUGACAUCCACACAGUUAUAGUUGCCUUAUUUUUUGUUUUGUAUUUUUUGUAUGUUCUGUAAAUUAAUAAUUUGUUUCUUUAAUGUUUUCUGUUUGGCAUUUGUAUUGUCACAAAAGCUGCUUCCUCUCGAGUAUUUUCAAGAAAAAAGAAACCAUGCCCAUUGGUGAACAUUUUGUUGGCAGCAUUCUAAUGCAUGUUAAGGAACAUCAUCAUGAUAAUUAUAAGCUUCUCUGAGAGCAGCUGUAGGAAAAACUUGGUUUUGUUCUUUACUGGCAGGGCUUAUGAAUGAUACUGGUGUUUUGAGUUUGAGACUUAAAUAAGCCCAUUAACUUACUCUAGGGGCUGUUCUGGUUAUGUAAGCCACACAUUAAUAUGAGCAAAUACAUCAGAAUUUCUAAAUUGGAUACUGGUGAACCUACAUGGUACAUGGAUACAGAAUGGGGUAUUCAUAAUUUCAUAUUAUUGUCUAUCUUAUAGCUUGAGCUAAUCAGCCGUAAGUGUUAUUUUUUUGGUAAUGUUGAAAAGAAGUUUCAGGAGUCCCCACAAAAUUAAAUGUUUCAGUGGCAUCAAUGUUAUACAAACUCCCUAUACAAAAUUCUUGUAAAAACUUCAGUGGUGAAGAACCUCAUCGGUUGUUUACAUUGAUUUAUUCAAGGUUGUGGAAGGCAUUAACAAUUUUUUUGUAGUUGAAAGUUUUUUUGUGGUGCAUCAAUAUGUUGGGAUCUGUUUUUUGUCUUCUUAGAACUCUGACAUGUAUAUUCCUUUUCUAUUAGACAUCAAAGAAAUUUUUAUUUUUUAUCUGUUGUUAGUUGUAAUUUUUUACUAGGAUGUUUUUUGAUUGUGAUGUCAAAAGAGUGCUCUUAAGUGAUUUAAAGGUAGCACAGUUGUGGUGUUAGAACACUGUUUUAGUGAUCAUUCAAAUAUUUAGAUGUUAUUUUAAGCACUAUGUAGCCUUGUUUGGGUAACUACCUUUUUAUGCCGUGUAUUGUGUGUAUGCCCUAUACUGUGUAUAUGUAAUGUGUACUUGUUGUGAGUAUCAAAACAAUAGGUGUUUCACAUUACAAGUCCUCUUCCCUUUCCUUUUAUUUGCAUCAGACAUUAGAUGUUUAGUUGUUUUGUAAUUAUAUGUGAAUUUUUUGCAUGUCUUGCGCAACUGAUGUGUGUUCUGUCUUGCAAAGUCUAUAAUUCCUUGUACAAGACCAUACUGGAAAGACAUGAGAAUGUCUUCAUUGUUGCACUUGAUGCGGGAUGACCCAAACUACGUCUUUCCAACGUGUCUUCAAUUUGGAGUUAUGAUAGUAUAAUGUUGGUUGGUUGCUUAACGUUGAUUGUUUGUAAUUUCUUUUGUAGGACUUUAAUGUUAUGUUUAGCACUGUUACAAAUGCUUUAAUUUGGAGUUGAUACUUUUGUCUAGUUGUGUAAUAAUGUGGAAACUUUUGUGUCUUCACAUUGCUUGUCUAAAUGGAUAAGAGGGGGUGGGCAUUGCUGCAGAUAAUGCAUGCGAGUGGAGGAUCGUAAUGUGCUGCUUGUGAACGUGGAUGCUUGGCCGUGGGUUUCUAUUGUGUUAUAAUUUGAGAUUAUCGUUGGUUGCAUUUGUGUUUGUUUUGACAUAAUUUUUAGGUUUGUUGUUUGACACUGCCAUUGCCUGUUUCUCAAGCCUGGAUGAGAAAACGUGGAGGGGGCAAUAGCUGAUCGGUACCUCUCUGUUGUAAACAAUCCAAAUGAUCUGCGAGUAUCACUACAUGAAUGCAUUGCUCAACCUGCCCAUAGGAGCAACUUGUAUGAGUUUCAUGUUUGGUUUUUGAAAUUCGAACUCUAGGGAUAAUAAAUCUCUUUGAGGUUUCUGUGUAGUGUACAUUGUAUGUAUAAUAUCUUUUCAAAAUUGAAUGUUUUUUCAAA